GGCCACUUUGGGUUCCCUUUUUAUCCCUCUCUCUCUCUCUCGCUCUCUCUCGGCCUGGCGUUCGAUCUCCCUUAGCAGUUCCGCCCGAUGAAGGACGCCGCCGCCGUCGGACCGAGGCUUUCCAAGAAGAACUCCGACGAUGAGGAGAGGAGAAAGAAGAAGAAGAAAAUGAAAUCCAACAAGCGCCGUCGCCUCCGCCACUCCUCCUGCUCGUCUUCCGAUUCCGACGACGGCAGCCCUCGCUCCCGAAGGAAACGAGCGAAGAGGCUUGAGAAGAGGAAAAGGGAGCCCAAGAACGACGACAGGAAGAAGAGGAAGAAGAAGAGUAAGAAGAAGGAGAAGGAGAAGGAGAAGGAAAAGGAGAGGUCCCGCAAGUCGCGCAACCGCAGCGUCAGCGCGUCGAGCCGGAGUUGCUCCACCUGCCGCGGCCGGAGCAGCUCCUCCGGCAGUAGCGUCUCGAGGAGCCCGCCUCCGAGAGCGAAGCAGAGGGCGAGAAGUCGGUCUAGAGGGAGAGGGAGGGAUGGGGAUGUGGAGAGGGGGAGAGGUCGGCGGAGGAGGACGACAAGCUUCGAUCGGCGUGGGAGUAGGUAUCGGUCUCGGAGUUGUUCUACUUGUGGAGGGAGUCGGAGUAGCGGCCGGACCGGUGGAAGCGCUUGCCGAAGCCGAAGUUGUAGCGAGGAGAAGUAUCGGGAGAUUGAACAGCCGAGGCGGCUCAGAUCGAUGCUGGCUAUGGCAGAGGACAGAGAGGUGGUCGAAGGAGGAUUUCAUGGAAAGGAUGAGCAGGGAGACAGAAUUAUCCAAAGUUACGAUGAUUUCGAUAGGUAUGAUGGGGGCAGGAAGUCGGACACACAUCAAGAUUCUCCUCAGAGGAAUGCAAAGAAUGAUGAGGCUUUAGCAAAGAAUGGGAAUGCAAAGGACAGUGAAAUGGUGCUGAGUAUCAGUGGUGAGCAAACAAUUGAGAAUGCUGAUGGUGGUGGUGAUGAUUUUACUAGGAAGAAGAAAGACAACUCUGGGGGUCCGGAGGCUGUCGAGUUAGAAUCACAAUUAAGACAAAGGGCAUUGGAUAAUUUCGCAAAGUUCCGACGAAGCCUUUCUGCAAACACGAGGUCUACUGGUUGUCAGGAAGAUGACUCCAGCCAACCUCAAUGUGGCAAGGAUCCCAUUAAGGUUGCUGAGGCACAAGAUGCCUUCAAAUCUUCAGAUGGAAAGUUCGCUGUUUCCCAUGAAUGCCAAGGAGAUGUUCAAGGUGAAGUCCGGCGAGCUGAACCCAGAGUUAGAUCUGUUGUGAAUAUUCCCGCUGAGAAAGAUACUUCAAGCCAUGUGAUUAGACGUCAAAGUUCCAGUGGAAGCUCUAGAAAAGAAAAUGAACAAGACCCAGAUAACUCCAACAAAGGCCAAAGUGAUCCAAACCAAUUAAACUGGAUAGAAGAGCCAUCUAACAAAAUGUCUUUGCAGCAUUCCUCACUAAUAAAAGACAAGCAAGAGAAGAGUGCAGCUGCUGAACCUGAAAGUAGCACUGUAUGUGAUGCUGCAGUAAAUCAGUCUGUUGGACAACCAACUUCAGCAUUACCUGCCGAUCAAAGAAUUGAAAGUGAAAAUGAAAACAAGGAUGAAGAUAAAGGGUCUCAGUUUCAACAAAAGACAUUCUCUAGGAUGCAUGAUGGAGAACUAGUGCAGGUAAGUUACAAGGUUUACAUACCAAAGAAAAGUCCUGCCUUGGCAAGAAGGCAACCACAACGGUGAAAAGUGUAUAGGUUGAGUCUCCUUCCUCCUAUUUCCAUUUUCAGUAUUGGCACUGGUGUCUUCAUGAGGAUCAAGAUAUUUCACUACUGCAUAAUUGACUAAGAUUCAGGAAGAUUGAAGCAUCGGAUCAUUAGACGGAGCGCAGGUGGAGAGUAGAUAAUAGAUAUCAAUCAAAUUGGAUGUAAUUGGUUAUAUGAUUAUCCAACAAUUGUUCAUCUCUGAUCCUAUCCAAUAUGCAUCUCUGGGUGAUCUUUCUGAGCCCACAAAGCAGAUGUAUGGAAUUCAAUUACUACGAUAUAACUCUGGACUGUGUCUAAGCUUCAUAAAACUAUUUGACACAAGGUGAGUCAUGUCUGAUGCCGUAUUUAGAAUUUUCAUUGUCA